GAUGAAGAACGUAGCAAAAUGCGAUAAGUAAUGUGAAUUGCAGAAUUCAGUGAAUCAUCGAAUCUUUGAACGCACAUUGCGCCCGCCAGUAUUCUGGCGGGCAUGCCUGUUCGAGCGUCAUUUCAACCCUCAAGCACAGCUUGGUGUUGGGACUCGCGUUAAUUCGCGUUCCCCAAAUUGAUUGGCGGCCACGUCGAGCUUCCAUAGCGUAGUAGUAAAACCCUCGUUACUGGUAAUCGUCGCGGCCACGCCGUUAAACCCCAACUUCUGAAUGUUGACCUCGGAUCAGGUAGGAAUACCCGCUGAACUUAAGCAUAUCAAUAAGCGGAGGA
rnacentral:misc_RNA from 1 species